AGACCCAACUUAUAGGAAACAGGGCAAAACACCAGCCAUAAAUGCUGACAAAACAUCAAAAUUUUCAUCUUGCUUCCACAAAUUUUUAAAGUUUUUCUUCUUCAAGUGUUCAAUUUAUAUUCCUAACACUUCUUAUCCAAUUUUUCCCUCACACACAGCUAGGUAAAAACAUGUUUAAGGGCUAGAAUAUAGAUGGGAGGGUAGAAGAAGAAACAGAGCAAAGAAAAACCUGACUCCUAUUUCUCAAGUUAAAAUUGGAAUACAUUUUCAAGAGCCCUGGGCAGGACAGAGAAAAAUUCCAUUCUGCCUCUUUGCUCUUCCAAAUUCCUAUAGCCAAGUGGCUCAACAGCAGUUGAAUGGCACACAUAAUGACAUCAUUGAUUGGAACUAUAAUAGAAGAGAGUGAGAAGAGCGGGUGGUGGGGGGGAGUGGGAAGGGAGGGAGGUGAAGAUGUAUUUGUGUUACAGACAAAAGACAAGUUCUGUUCCUCAGCAGGGACAAAUGAAGAACCAGAUGAGGGGAUAAACUGAGGUAGUGGAAGGGAAUAUAGACAGAAUCAAAUAGGCCUUCCAGAAGAGACUGAAUGGAAACCAACCCACCAUCAUUUAGCCACAGUGAAAUCUGUAUGCUAGGAGACACUGAUGCUCUCCUGUGCCUGGAACUGAUUCUUUGUCCCAGCUGCUUCUCUGAUAGCUCAACAGAUUUCAGUGACAUCCUCAAAAAACAAGGAAAGUCCAGUAUCUCUCUCACUCUGAUGUGGUUCAUCCCCAAGCAAUGGUGAGCAAAAACAUGUAAUUACAUGAAAAGUUCAUGAAACUAA